rnacentral:rRNA from 1 species
AUACAGAGGGUGCAAGCGUUAAUCGGAUUUACUGGGCGUAAAGCGCGCGUAGGUGGCUAAUUAAGUCAAAUGUGAAAUCCCCGAGCUUAACUUGGGAAUUGCAUUCGAUACUGGUUAGCUAGAGUAUGGGAGAGGAUGGUAGAAUUCCAGGUGUAGCGGUGAAAUGCGUAGAGAUCUGGAGGAAUACCGAUGGCGAAGGCAGCCAUCUGGCCUAAUACUGACACUGAGGUGCGAAAGCAUGGGGAGCAAACAGGAUUAGAUACCCUGGUAGUCCAUGCCGUAAACGAUGUCUACUAGCCGUUGGGGCCCUUGAGGCUUUAGUGGCGCAGCUAACGCGAUAAGUAGACCGCCUGGGGAGUACGGUCGCAAGACUAAAACUCAAAUGAAUCGGCGGGG